rnacentral:rRNA from 1 species
UACGUAGGGGGCUAGCGUUGUCCGGAUUUAUUGGGCGUAAAGAGCGCGUAGGCGGUCCGGUAAGUCCGUUGUGAAAGUCAGGGGCUCAACCCUUGAAUGCCGGCGGAUACUGUCGGGCUAGAGUCCGGAAGAGGCGAGUGGAAUUCCCGGUGUAGCGGUGAAAUGCGCAGAUAUCGGGAGGAACACCUAUGGCGAAGGCAGCUCGCUGGGACGGUACUGACGCUGAGACGCGAAAGCGUGGGGAGCAAACAGG